rnacentral:lncRNA from 1 species
GUGGGUCCCAUGUGAAAGUGCUGCUUUAAGGGGGCCAAGUGGAACCAACAAUGCGAUUCCCAUGCCCCUUGUGAGGGGUGGGAUGGGAGCCAUCGCAUUUGCUGGUAGCCAGUUAUAUGCUCUUUGAUUCAACCCAGUAUCUGUUGUAGAAGAGGCAAUGGCCCCUUUAAGACCCUCAUUUCAACCCUCGGAAGGCCCAAAGACAAAUUAAUACCUGUUGAUCAGUCUUCUCCAGCCAAGCUUUUUAAGAUCAGGGUCCUUUUAAGAAGAUGUUCCGCUUUGAUUGUGCCCGGCCCCUAGAGAAUCUUUUGCUUCAGAUCCUCCCGGUAAUGGGUGGUGUCUGGUCAUUCUCCCCCCACCGCUCAGAGCCCCAUAGGCGAUGUAGGAUCAGGCCCUUCAAAACAGCAAGUGUGCAGGGCAGAACAAAAUGCCCAAGUCUGGCCUCACAUUGAACUUUUCUUAAUGACUACUGAUCUACAAAACGCUGAUUAAACAAAAUUAGAAAACAAAAAAAAUGGUUUCUGUUCUGAAUUUUGCAUGAAAACGUUUUUGUUCACGUUAAUGAAGGUGGCAGAAGAAAAAAUUGCUAUGGUUUUCCACUCCUGUAAACAUAUCUGCUCUGGUUCCAAAUCUUAUCACUUCCACGGCUGGGAAGAUAACAAAGCAAUUCAGGGCCUACUAGAGAAAGUAGACUUGACAUUGGCACAAAUCUCUUUGUCAAGAGACAGAGAGGCUGAGCCUUCUCUGAGCAGUGUCUUUGAAUAUCUUAGUUGACAGUAUGAUCAAAGCAUUGCAAGACUGCCAGUUCCAAGACAACUAUGCAGUUCAGGGGGUUUGCCUCACAGACUAUGCAGGAGCCUGAGCCAAUACAAUGUGCAAGAAAGGAACUAGCUCACAAAAGCUGAAUUUAAGGCUUGCAAGACCCAGGGACGCGAUCUAGCUGCUGAGAAGUUCAGAGUCAAACCUGAAUCUCACCUCUGCAAAGAGCACAGGACUCCAUGGCAAACGUUGUAUAUACGCAAGUCAUCCCUGGCACCACAUUGAUUUACUGCACCAGGCUUUCUUCAUUGUGAUGAUGUUCUCUCUCUUUUCUAAAAAAAAAAUAAAAAUAAAAUUUAAAAAAUCC